CUUAGGCAUCAUGAGUUUACCUCUCGCUGCAAUUUCUCAUGGGCUCUUUGAGAUAUACAGUAUUGUCAUCAAAAUCUGUCUGAUAAAGCAAAGCUUGUCAUGUUCUUAUUUGAACUUUUUCAGAGAGAAUUCAAGAGAUUAGCAUGAGUACAUCAGAGAUGCCCUGACAGUUGACAGAGUGUUUUUGCUGUGGUUGUGUGUUUGGUAUUCAAAUAGAUCCCUUUUUGAUGAGUAAGAGAGAGCCCCACCCCUUUAAGAACAGGGCUAAACUCCUAUGUGCAUAUACUUAGUUGAGCAGGUUGCAAAGCAGCAAGUCGAUCUCCAACUUGCUCCCACUAAUAGCUGGAAUACUACAGACAAAUUGUAAACACACUACUUUCACAGCAGGGGUGUGCUAUUGCUGCUUUUACUUGCCAUAGGAGUUGGCACAAGUCACACACACACACACAGACACACACACACACAUAUACACCCACGCACGCACGCACACCCACGCACGCACACACACAGACAAACAGUUUCUUCUGCAGGUUUGAACUGCGAUCAAGAUGGGCAAUGAGCAUUCCAAAAACAAGGCUGAGCAGGCUCCAGAAAAGCCCCUGCAUGGAGGUUUGAAUGGCCAUGCUGUAAGCAUCUCAUCCAAUGGCCUGGAGAAUGUUACCAGUGAAGCAGCUGUGGAGCAGAACAGUAUGCCUACCUCACUGCCUCCCUCUGAAGAGUCAGGUAUAGUGGAGGCAGAUGGCAGUGGUCUUGGGCCUGUGGUGGUGGAACAGAAGUCUGCCGUCAAGAAGGUUCCAGAAGUGGAACCAGAGACACAGAAUGCUAAGACUCAAAACACAGCGGAACCGGAACUGGAACCAGCCACCCAAGAGAAGGAGGAGCCCAAGAACAGUACACAAGAAAAAGUGAACAUCUUUGAAAAUCUGUUCAAGAAGAAAGCUAAGCCUCAACCCACCCCCAACCCGGAUCCAGCCCUGGAAAAGGAGGAGCCCAUAAGGGAGAAGAUUGUGGAGGAGAUUGAAAGUUCUGCGGAAGAUCAGAAAGUCCCUGUGGCUGUGACCGAUGGGAUCCAAGCUGAGCCACUUGCUGAGGUAAAGGAGGAUACAGAGACUUCAAAGGAGCGUCCCAACCCUAGUCCAGAGGCAGAGGAGGUCAAAAGCCCCAAAAUUGCAGAGGAAAGCAGUCACAUUCAGGAAAACCAAGAGGGAGAGAGUCAAACAGAAGAUAAUCCAGUUAUGAACUUCUUCAAAACACUAGUGACUCCCAUAAAAAAAAACAAGCAAGAAACAGCCACCCCUGAUGUUGCAAAAGACCAGAAAGAGGCCCAACCAACAACAACUACUGCUGCACAACUAGUGGAUGCAACAGCCAAAGGAGGAAUGUUAAUCCCACCAGCUGCAGCCCCAGCCCCAGCCCCGGCCCCAGCCCCGGCCGCAGCCCCGGCCGCAGCCCCUGCCCCACCCGCAGCCGCAGCCCCAGCCCCAGCCCCACCUAAGAUGGAGGUUAAAGCAGAACUAGCUGCCCAACCUGUGACCAACGCACCAAAAGAAGAACCAAAGGGUGCUGCCAAAGAAGCAGAGGCCGCCAAGCCGAAAUCUGACCGCCCGUUCAGCAGACUUUUCAGCAGAAAGGCACUGAUAGGCCUCAAGUCUAAAAUCAAGGUUAAGUCAACAAGUGGAGCCAGAGCCCCUGCCAAGCCUGCUGCAGCGACUGUGGAACCAGUGGAGCCACAGCCGGUUGUGGAAGUACAGAAUGUAGACUUCUCAAAGACGGCCACUCUGGAGGCCUCUGCCACUCUAGAACCACCACCACCUGCACCAGAGGACGAGAAGACACCUGCUGCCUCCAAAGCCUCUCCUUUCACUUCCUUUUCUCUUUUCAAGACCAUGGCAGCUGUGCCGAAAAAGGAAGUCCCUGCCCCAGCUGCAGAAGCGGUAGCUGGCCCAAGUGUAGCCAAGGAUGAACCAAAGGCCCCAGAGGACCCUGCUGUGGACAGCAAGCCCGUGUCAGGGCCCUCCGAGGUUAUGGAGAAUUCCCCCGUCCUCCCUAAGAGACUGGAGAAGAGGAACUCCAUCCACUUGUUCUUCAAAAACCUGGGCAAACGCCAGUCAGAUGCAGGAGUACAAACAGAACCAGAGAAGACCAAAUAAAACGGAAACACCCUUUCAAACUUCACAUGCCAUAUCUGGAAAUGAACUUUUCAUUUGUUAGAUACAUUAUGUUUCUGAUCACACUAUUGAAGGGAUGAUGGUAAGAGCAAGUGGUUUGAGGGAGAGGGGUGGACUGUGGACUGGUCUGUUCUAGUCUAAUCUAAUCUGUGUGGAUGAUUUCAGAGAAUUGUUCUUUGUGGAGGAGGUAAAAUAUAUUUUCUGGUUUAAAGGCUUGAUAGGUAGAGAAAAGUGGUUUUGUUACAUGUACUGAGAGCAAAAUCCAUUUCUAUACAGUAUUUACCCUUCUUUUAACAUGUCACUUAUUCCACGGAGGGCUGAGUGUCUGCGGGUUUUUGCUCCUCCCUUGAUUGAUUAAUUAAGGUCACUAAUUAGUAAAGAACUCCCCUCACCUGGUUGUCUAAGUCUAAAAACAAAACACCCACAGACACUAAGCCCUUCAUGGAAUGUGUUUGACACCACUGCUUUAACAUAUUAAUAUGUGUAAGGAUCUAAUGCAAAUAUUACGUUUAGCAUAUUUUUUUCCCCUCUUCAUAUACACAUUUUACUAGUCUGAAAAGAACUUGUGGAGUGCAUACAAUGGUUUCAGAUACGUUCAUAGGACGUCUUGGAGAAGAGAUGCAUAAAGCUUAGCUUGAGAUAGAAAUUGAAUAUACUCAAAAUUUAAUGGAGGAGUUGGCGAAAUGGUUGAUAUUCCUGCCAAGAUGUUUUUAUUUAGGCUAGACACAUGCAAUUUACAAUGUAAGCUUUAAACUUUGCAGGAACUGUACACGGAUGCAAAUAUAUGCCAAACACUAAAUUACAAUUUAUGAUUAUAAUCAUACACAGGGGGCGCUCCCAAUCAUUACUUUUUUGGGGAACUACACAGAUCUGGUUGUCUAUAUAGCUAACUGCACAGUCAUGCAUCAUAUUUGAUUAAUGUUUCACUGAAGUAUAAAGGUUUGUUCUAAUUUGGGUGCACUGCUUUACGUGUGUGCCUGUUUGAAUGCAGAUGUUAUAAUCUUGGGGAUCUUGUCUGUUAAUUUCUGCAUCUAUAAUUUGAUAAACUGCAUCUGGAAGUAGAAUGUUUAUUGUGACAGCAAAUUCCAAAUCAUGAAAACCUGCAAUGGGGUAUUGGGGGGGGGGGGGAGUUCUACUGAGCUAACAUAUGGAAUUUUUUUAAGAUCAUACCAUGGAUCCUUUAGCUAUUUAAUUUUUCAUUUAGGUAAAAUAUUGAAUUUGGCUUUUAAUGCUAUAGCCUAUAGAAAUGCAAUGAAUAACACAUUCAUAAAUGGCAAAACGGAGAGUACAAAAAGAAAUAAUAUAUAACGUUUUUGAAGUGUCUGUCCUACAUCUAGGAGAUGUAAUAAUGUUCAGGAUUUACACAUAUUUAACCCAUUUUUUGGGGGUGUCACAAAACUACUUCUAUAUAUUUUUUAUUAUGUUAAUUAAAUUGACGCACGGGUGCGUUGAUGGACUUUAGGGGGUAUUUAAAGCUAUUUUCCUGUAACUGUUUAAAGAGAAUAAAUGUGUACAAUUAUUUGUUUUCUUGUUUUCUAUCUCACAAUUUAGGCCAAAAGUUAUCAGUAUAGGGAAAUAUGAAAACAUAUUUAGAGUGAAAUUAAAUGUCCCUGUAAUAUAGUGAUUUAAUGUUAUCAAACAGUACUAUCAAGUGCUGCAAUAACUGAAAAAGACAUGACCCAACAAGUUUAUCAACACAUCUUGUAUUCCCAAAGUAGGGAGCCAAGCUGUUUUCAGCUAUGUUAGAAGUAUGGAG
rnacentral:lncRNA from 1 species